rnacentral:lncRNA from 1 species
CACAAUUUUACCAAACUUCUGAGGGGACCGACUCCAGUGCCUAUAAAGCAAAUUAAGAUGUGGAACUUAAGAAAUUAUGUAGCAGAGAGUGCUUAUAGAAUGUGUCCUUUGCUUUUGUGAACCAGACCACAGCAGAGUUUUUCUAGCCUGUUUCAGAGCAGCUCUCUAAACUCCCAUUUUUGGAUUGGUGUGAUUUUAGCAUAAAGGGCCACUGUGAGAACUGGAGGGAGGGGAAGCCAGUGGAGGGCAAGAGAAAUGAGGCUGUGUGGGGCACUGUUCAUACUUCUGAGGGACCAUGGACACCUCCCAGGAAAAAAAAAUGUCCAUCUUGUCAGGAAGAAUUUUUUUUUGAGCUGAAAGCUCUUGGAACUGAGAGAGUACAAGAAGCAGAGAGGAAUGAACCGCCAUGAAGAAACUGCCCCAGAUGCAGAGGCUAUGUUUGGGGCAUGUGGGGAGAGGUAGUGAGGAGCACAGGGCGUAGAUGAUGUCCUCUUCUGAAGGUGAUUGAGGAGUAACCUCUUAAACUGAAUGCAUCAUGGAUAGCUGAGGAGAGGGAGGUGGGAUUGGAAAGAGUAUUAGUUGUUCCAGUUAAGUACAUUAUUAUUUAUAACUGUUAUUAACUACUUACUGUGUCUUAGUAACAACCAUGUAGCACAUAUUAUUUUUGAGCAUCUUUAUUUAUCAAAUGCUGUUUAAUUGUUUAGUGUUAUUAGUCUUACUUAUUUUUUUCCUAAUAUAAUGCAUGACACUGAUUAAGGCAAAGGAAAGUUGACUGCAGCAUAGCUCACUUCUAUCUAGAUCCUAGGUAGGGAUAUGCUGUAGAGCACAAUUCUGGCAUAUUGGUGCUAUUUAUCUGUAGUCCUAUCCUACCUAGACUGCAGAGAGCAGCAGCAAGUAAUGAAUGGCUUUUAGAAAGUAUCUGCCUUUGAGUACAGUUCCUCACUCAUAUUUCAUAAUAUUUUGUAAAACCUAAUUGUAAUAUCUGAUUCUGCUUGAUUUAGUUCAGCCAGAUAUAAUCUAGAGAGAGAGGGUGUGAGCUAUAGUAAAAAUGUUUUUAACAUGUCUUUUUAAUUAAUUGCCAUUGCCCAAAAGAGACGAAUGCAUUCCAUCUGCCAUGUUUGUAUAGAGGGGCACGAUGAGUCUGCUGAGGUUUCUGUAGAAGAGAUUAUUUUCUCACGAUCCUUAAUAUAAUGGAUGAGCUGCUAAGGCUGAUAUCAGUAACAGUUGAAGAUGACCUCCUCUACAAAAUGACCUUUUGUGUAGGAGGGUUUGAACUGAGCUGUCUGCCAAAAUAUGCCUUCAAACUAUCUCUUCCUUUCUCUUUCCUGCUCAUGUUCUUGAAAAGUUUACUGUGCUGAAGUACUUUUUUACACCUUCCCAUUUCACACCUCUCCUGGCCCAGCUGCUGCUGUCAUUUGGCUUUACACCCUCAGGAGGAAUUCUGGGCAGAGCCGGUGGAUAGAAAGUGCUUUGCUUGCAAAAUACAACCCUCCCCCCAGAGCUCCCCCAACAAACACCAACACUACUCUGACACAGCUGACACUGUUUUCUCCAGCAACCAGACAGGGCUUGCUGUUUGAUUCUAUCUUUAUGAAAUGUUAGGUCGCUAGCAGUUGGCUUUCAUCUCAGCAUUGAUCCGAGGUGGAGACCGGACAGGGGUGUCACGGAUUGGUGGGGCUCAUGAGAAGUUGUAGAUUAGGAUAUACGUGCAGUUCAGCAUCACUCUUACUAAAAAUGAGGCCCAGAAGCAUUCCAGUGGGAGCAAAAAGGAAUUUUAGUGGAAGGCCUAGGAAUUCAUCUUGAGUCCUGCAUCUGUCCUCUAGUGACAAACCGCCAGCCUGCAAAACCCUCUAAAGUAUACUCUACCUCUCUGAAGGUAUUUCUUAUUUUCCAUCUGCUCUCCCCAAAAUAUCCUUAUGGGAUAAAUAUCUGCUAUGGCAGACUAGCCCUGUGAAGUCGAAUUCAAGGGAUUUUGCAUAUAUUGAAGUAUUUACUAAAUGUGCUGGGAGCUGUCAAACUGGGCAGAGCAGCACUCCAUAAUUCAAUGUAUAAGAACAUCAAGUGCUACUGCAUGGCCGCUUUUACAGAUUCAAAUCAGUUUUCCCCAGUUCUAACUGCUAUUCUCAUUUAUUCACUUCACUAAACUUAACCUCCUAGAUUGCAUUAGGGCAUAGACUGACACAGUUAUCGAUGAAAUCUUUCCCCACUAAGCUGCUAGAUUUAAUGUGAAUGCGGACAUGAGCAAUCAACCUGUUACUGCUCUGAUGACCAGCCUGCCUCUGCAGUAUACAAGGUGGCUUCUACACAGUUGUCUUUGGUCACCUCAUUCAGAAGGAAAAAAGCUAAGCAGGCACUGGGUUCUUCCUUG